UUCAGGAAGAAUUGAACCAGAACUGAGUUGAUACACAAAAGAGAUAAAUGGCUCAUCUCUCAGUUUCUCUUUUCCUUCAAGGCUGUGAGAACACAAGAACUCCUGUGGGCUGCUGAGAGAGGGAAGGCUUGGCGGCAGCAUGCAGCGUUCUCCCCCCCAUCUAUCACGUAUUUCUGUUCCUUUUGAGUUUGAUCUUUCCUCAUGUGAGGGGAAUAAAUAUUCUCUGAUGGGAGUGCCUAAUCAAUCGUGUUAGUACAGAACGUCCCGAAGUUUUAUUAGCGUUCCCAUCAGUGGGGAACACCGAAACUCACGCGGCUCAACACUGGCAGCCUGGAUCUCCUGAUAACUACGGACUUCUAGUCCUUUUAGGAUCCCAGGGAUAAGCCUGAGGGGGUAGGGUUUCUAACACGGUACUUCCAGAGAUAAUGGGCGUAUUCCUCAUUAUCAGUCAACUGAUUGGCUCUCUCGGCUUUUAGGAAAGUUAUUAUGGUACAUACAUAUAAUGAUACAAAAUACCCCCCCCCAAAAAAAAAAAAAUUGGGACACAAUCUUCUCCUGAACAAAAGUCCUUCUGGAGAGUUGUGUAAGUUUAAAGUACACAGGGAGUGAAGCACAAUUCCCGAUUCCGCUGAGUCCUUUUCUCCCUUUAUCUAAUCUUAAAUUUCCCUGAAUCCUCGCUCUUUCCGGGGCUCCAAGGACCAGUGUGUAGACCUUCUCUCCAUCACAAGGAUCUCGGUCCCGGUGAAGGAAUUCUCAUCGGCUUAUUACCAGCUUAGCUCUUUUCUCCCCACUUUGCUCAGGUGCCCGGUGAGGGGAAGACUUUGACCUCCCACCUUCUCGUGGUCAUCUAAAUCCUCCAUCUCUGAAUAUUCAAUCGCUUAAUUAAUAGGGGGAGAGAAAAAAAAAAAAAACAAACAGAAACAAACCCAGAAGCAAAGACAAUAGAAAAAGAGGCACCGUGUGCUUCGGACACAUGGCAGAUUGGGGGGGGAGGAAGGGGGGAUUCGGUUGGCCGCCGCCCCUCCCCCGCCCGGCAGCUCACAGCAGCCUUUGUGUCACUCAUCCCCCGGAAGGAAAAGAGAGCCUGGAGAAAUCAGCAGGUGGUCCCUUUUGAGGACAAACUCUCCGGUUCUGCAGCCAAUUACAAGACCCUUCAUCACUGCACAGUGCCAGUCCCUCCUCAGUCAUGCGUGGUUGGAAACAGACUUCCAAAGCUCCGCAUGUCGGGCGGGAAUCGGGAAAGAGACUUAUCUUUGCCUUUUUCUUUCCUAAUCCACCAGGAAACAAACCCAAGUGGACUUUGAGAACCGAGCUUCACUGGCCAGUCCGACCCUCUCCGUGGCUCAAGCCCGUUAUAAAUCUGAAGGCUGGUCUUAUUGUCCUUGUCGGGCUCUCGCAAAUGGGGCCUAAAUAGUAAACCCACAAACCCCUCACAAUCUAGAUCAUGAUUCUGCAAUCUUCCGGCAUUAGGAAAAGGGCCCCAAAGCAGACAAGGGGGAGCGAACUUUUAUUUCCCGACAAACGAAAGAAACGCACUUCACUCGGUGCUGCUCGCUUACUCUAACAAUCUAGGAUGAGAACAGUCUGCUCUUGGCUCUCAAAGGCAGCGCGGGCGGAGCACAGGAGGCAAUUAAUUCGUAAAGGUUUGUUGAUGACUGACCGAUCGCUGAGGAAAAUCUAAUGCACAAGACUUGCCCACCAUAUGGGAGAAACACAAGCAGAAGCUCACAAGGGAUAGACUUCCUAGAGCCGUACUGUUGUGCCAAAGAAAAUCUCACCUCUCUCGCUACACUCUCUGGGACGAGACUACUCCCUCAAGUAAGAUUCAAGAAGCACUCAAGAGUAAGUAUACUUGCUAAUAAAGAACCUCCUGUGGUUUUCUUUGGCCAUUCGUUGCUUCUAUGGAUUUUUUGAGGUAUUCUAUCGUAGUUUCCAUAUUGGUCAUUUUCUUCAUUAUUUCCUUCCUUCAUUUUUUUCUACCUCUUAAUUCUUGAUUAAUUUGUAAUCUUGAUUGACAUCUGUGGUUAAAAAAAAAUCUUUCCUCAAACUCUUUUUUUUUUAUGUGAUUGUUUUUAUUUAUAUAACUAUAAAGAGCAACAGUAGUGAUUAUUUGAUGGGUAACACCUUGUAUUAGCACUGCUAAUUAUGCUGCUAUAAAUUUAGUUCAGGAUCAGAAUGAAAUUUAGGA